AGGCGUGCGAUACAGGGUGACAGCCCCGUACACAAAAAUGCACAUACUGUGAGCUCGAUGAGUAGGGCGGGACACGUGGUAUCCUGUCUGAAUAUGGGGGGACCAUCCUCCAAGGCUAAAUACUCCUGACUGACCGAUAGUGAACCAGUACCGUGAGGGAAAGGCGAAAAGAACCCCGGCGAGGGGAGUGAAAAAGAACCUGAAACCGUGUACGUACAAGCAGUGGGAGCACGCUUAGGCGUGUGACUGCGUACCUUUUGUAUAAUGGGUCAGCGACUUAUAUUCUGUAGCAAGGUUAACCGAAUAGGGGAGCCGAAGGGAAACCGAGUCUUAACUGGGCGUUAAGUUGCAGGGUAUAGACCCGAAACCCGGUGAUCUAGCCAUGGGCAGGUUGAAGGUUGGGUAACACUAACUGGAGGACCGAACCGACUAAUGUUGAAAAAUUAGCGGAUGACUUGUGGCUGGGGGUGAAAGGCCAAUCAAACCGGGAGAUAGCUGGUUCUCCCCGAAAGCUAUUUAGGUAGCGCCUCGUGAAUUCAUCUCCGGGGGUAGAGCACUGUUUCGGCAAGGGGGUCAUCCCGACUUACCAACCCGAUGCAAACUGCGAAUACCGGAGAAUGUUAUCACGGGAGACACACGGCGGGUGCUAACGUCCGUCGUGAAGAGGGAAACAACCCAGACCGCCAGCUAAGGUCCCAAAGUCAUGGUUAAGUGGGAAACGAUGUGGGAAGGCCCAGACAGCCAGGAUGUUGGCUUAGAAGCAGCCAUCAUUUAAAGAAAGCGUAAUAGCUCACUGGUCGAGUCGGCCUGCGCGGAAGAUGUAACGGGGCUAAACCAUGCACCGAAGCUGCGGCAGCGACGCUUAUGCGUUGUUGGGUAGGGGAGCGUUCUGUAAGCCUGUGAAGGUGUACUGUGAGGUAUGCUGGAGGUAUCAGAAGUGCGAAUGCUGACAUAAGUAACGAUAAAGCGGGUGAAAAGCCCGCUCGCCGGAAGACCAAGGGUUCCUGUCCAACGUUAAUCGGGGCAGGGUGAGUCGACCCCUAAGGCGAGGCCGAAAGGCGUAGUCGAUGGGAAACAGGUUAAUAUUCCUGUACUUGGUGUUACUGCGAAGGGGGGACGGAGAAGGCUAUGUUGGCCGGGCGACGGUUGUCCCGGUUUAAGCGUGUAGGCUGGUUUUCCAGGCAAAUCCGGAAAAUCAAGGCCGAGGCGUGAUGACGAGGCACUACGGUGCUGAAGCAACAAAUGCCCUGCUUCCAGGAAAAGCCUCUAAGCAUCAGGUAACAUCAAAUCGUACCCCAAACCGACACAGGUGGUCAGGUAGAGAAUACCAAGGCGCUUGAGAGAACUCGGGUGAAGGAACUAGGCAAAAUGGUGCCGUAACUUCGGGAGAAGGCACGCUGAUACGUAGGUGAAGCGACUUGCUCGUGGAGCUGAAAUCAGUCGAAGAUACCAGCUGGCUGCAACUGUUUAUUAAAAACACAGCACUGUGCA
rnacentral:rRNA from 1 species